rnacentral:rRNA from 1 species
UCCCAAACCCCCUGUGAACAUACCAAUUGUUUAGCCUCGAGCGGAUACAGCCCGCUCCCGGUAAAACGGGACGGCCCGCCAGAGGACCCCUAAACUCUGUUUCUAUAUGUAACUUCUGAGUAAAACCAUAAAUAAAUCAAAACUUUCAACAACGGAUCUCUUGGUUCUGGCAUCGAUGAAGAACGCAGCAAAAUGCGAUAAGUAAUGUGAAUUGCAGAAUUCAGUGAAUCAUCGAAUCUUUGAACGCACAUUGCGCCCGCCAGUAUUCUGGCGGGCAUGCCUGUUCGAGCGUCAUUUCAACCCUCAAGCCCCCGGGCUUGGUGUUGGGGAUCGGCGAGCCUCACGGCAAGCCGGCCCCGAAAUACAGUGGCGGUCUCGCUGCAGCUUCCAUUGCGUAGUAGUAAAACCCUCGCAACUGGUACGCGGCGCGGCCAAGCCGUUAAACCCCCAACUUCUGAAUGUGACCUCGGAUCACGUAUCCGUACCCAAGCGUGAGUAAUAAUAUAGACACCGUCAGUACCCGGAGGAAAA